ensembl:lncRNA
CAGAAAUCUACUUAAUAUGACAUUUAAGUAUACUUGACUUAUACUUACAAAAAGUCUAAAUAUUUGAGCUAUACUUGUGCUCCUGGUAGGCUACAUAUUUUCAUUAUCAUUUUAGAAUCAGAUAUUGACUAAUAAGAAUGCUUCACAUAUUUUUGAAACUUCCCAAAUCUUACGUACGGGGCACAACAUAAGACCCUGAAUGUUUAUUACUACAGUGUCACGUUUCUCAACUAUUUUGGCACACUUCACUCCUCUCUGUUCUCAAGAACUGCCAACACCUGCUUACUACGCGCCGGAGAACACGUAGACCCAGCACACAAAACACAAAAACAGGAUUGUCAUGCGGCUACUGAACAGAUAAAAUUUUUUAAGAAAUAGGCUAGUUCUUGAUCACGUUAUGGACGUCCCAAAUGAAGUAGGCUACUAUUAAAGGAGGGUGUAAACACUUUUCUUUUGCUACGGAUUAAAUGUUGACGUGCUCUGCUGGAUUUAGACGAAAAGUGUGUUUCUGUGGACAUUGCUUUAAUUCAUCCUUGUGGAUCUUAAAGCUAAUAACACGGUGCUUAUUAAAAGAAGGAAAAAUUAGAGGAGACAAAUGAAGAGGAGGAGGGAUGAACAUUCACAAGCCGGAGGAUCAAAACCAGCAAAUCUGGAGGAUCUUGUUAAAAGGAACAGUAUGGAACUUCCUGCGACUCUGAAAUUCUCUCAGGAUGCAGACAGACCAGAGAGACAUUUUGAAGUAUCAGAAUCAAAGACGAGAUCAUCUGAACACCAACCAGACAAAUCUCUAUGAAUCUCUCACGUUUCUUCAGAUGGAGCUGAAAUUGCUAAGUGUUUCCAGGCCUGGCUCCAUCCAAGCAGGAGUAUCAAAAAUUCACGUUUAUUUAGAAAGUAGAAAGCAUGUAAGUCUUGCCAGUUUACUGUAAAGGAAUUUUCCAUAUUGAUUUUUUUUUACACGUGUUUUAUUUUGCAAUUCUAUUUUGUGUUUUAGGGUUAAUGGAAAUGUUUGUAAAAUUAAUGGAUAAUGUCCUAGCAGAAAAUUGAAUAUUACUAGUAUAUUUUUUGUGUUGUUGUUGUUGUUGUUGUUGUUGUUGUUGUUGUUGUUGUUGUUGUUGUUUUAACAGUGUUUUGGCUGUUUUCUGUGCACACACAGAGAGCACAUAUCAGACAUUACUGAACUUAUCUUAACUGAGUUACAAUAAAAUGUCUUAAAGAAUGUAACUAGUUGGGAGA